AUUGAACGCUGGCGGCAGGCCUAACACAUGCAAGUCGAACGAGUGGCGGAGGGGUGAGUAAUGUCUGGGAAACUGCCUGAUGGAGGGGGAUAAAUACUGGAAACGGUAGCUAAUACCGCAUACCAUCGGAUGUGCCCAGAUGGGAUUAGCUAGUAGGUGGGGUAAAGGCUCACCUAGGCGACGCUCCCUAACUGGUCUGAGAGGAUGACCAUCAAACCUGGAACUGAGACACGGUCCAGACUCCUACGGUAGGCAGCAGGGGGGAAUAUUGCACAAUGGGCGCAAGCCUGAUUCAGCCAUGCCGCGUGUAUGAAGAAGGCCUUCGGGUUGUAAAGUACUUGCAGCGGGGAGGCGUUACCCGGAGAAGAAGCACCGGCUAACUCCGUGCCAGCAGCCGCGGUAAUUC
rnacentral:rRNA from 1 species